rnacentral:lncRNA from 1 species
AGUUGUCUUAUUUUUGAUAUUCAAAUACGGCGAUUAGUUAUUCUUUUUAUUACAUUGGCAAAUGGCUUUUUUUUAUGAAAUUAAUGUAGAAAAUGUAAGGAACUAUAUCUUUUUCCUACGCAUUGACAAUUUGUUUUGAUCCGACGUUAUCGACGUCUUGACAACGCCUAUUGUUGUAUGAUGUCAGAGAGUGAAAUAACCACGUUUAUUUCACAUGUGAAAUUAUCGGUUUUUAUCUAACUGGGAAAUCAAUGUAAUUCAUUGCAACC